rnacentral:rRNA from 1 species
UUAAAUUGUUUAUUUUAACAUUAAUCUAUAUGUGAAUUUUUGUGAAUUAAAUUUUCUAAAGGGGAAUUUGAUGAAGUAUGGAAGCAGUAGAUGAAUUUAUUUAUAUUAAAUUAAUUUAGAUUUGGUAAAUGUUAUUAAGGUUUGGUUAAAGCUGUGCCAGCAUCCGCGGUUAUACAGCAAAAUCAAAUAAACGUUAUUGGUUUUAAAGUAAUUAUUAUUAAAGGUUAAAUGGGAAUUAUAAUAUUAUAAGGUGAAAUAUUUAUAAUAUUUUGAAGUGAAUUUAUUUUAGUAAGAUUAUUAUGAAAUUGAAAAUAUAAACUAGGAUUAGAUACCCUAUUAUUUUUAUUGUAAAAUUAUGAAAUCAGAGUAGUAGUAGUUAUGAUCUUGAAACUUAAAGAAUUUGGCGGUAUUAUAGUCUAUUUAGAGGAAUCUGUUAUGUAAUCGAUAGUCCACGUUGAACCUUACUUAUAUUAUUUCUUGUAUACCGCUGUUUAAGAAUAUUCUUUUAGGAUAUUUUCCGGAUAUAAAAAUAAUUAAAAUUUCAAGUCAAGGUGCAGUAAUAUAUAAGUUGAAUAAUGGAUUACAAUAAAUUUUAUUUAUUAUGGAUGGUUAUUGAAAAGUAAUUUGAAGGUGGAUUUAAUUGUAAUUUUAUAAAGAUUAUUAAAAUGAUUUAUAGCUCUAUAAUAUGCACACAUCGCCCGUCGCUCUCAUUAGUUAAGAUGAGAUAAGUCGUAACAAAGUAGGUGUAUCGGAAGAUGUACCUAGGAAGUGAA